AGCUUUGCACAGCGGCAGUAUCGUAGCCAAUGAGGUUUAUCCAAGGCACAAUUAUUGCUAAUUGACAACUAAAAGUUAAGCACAUAAGAUGAAAAUGUGUACCUGCCGUAACUCUUCAUACAUAAAUUUAAACUUUCCCAUAUGGA